ensembl:lncRNA
ACAGGAAAGCCUGGGAGAAAGCUGAUUUUCUAUUCGGAUGUGUCUGGCAGCAUCAACCAUACAGCUGCAAACCAGGAUCGAUUUCAGAGCUCACGGCCUGGCCACACGUGUCAGACACCUAUGAACUUCUCAUGGAGACUGUUCACCAAGAAGCAUGAAGACAGCGCAGGUGACUGGAGGUGGCUCCCCAGGACUACGAUCAAAAUAUUGCCAGCUUGUUGCAGGAAGUCAGGGACCCCAAAUGGAGGGACCAGCUGGAGCCACAGCAGAGGAACAUAAAUUGUGAAGAUUUCAUGGACAUUUAUCAGUUACCAAAUAAUACUCUUAUAAUUUCUUAUGCCUGUCUUAAUCUCUUAAUCGUGUUAUCUUCAUAAGCUGAGGAUGUACGUCACCUCAGGACCACUAUAAUUGUGUUAACUGUACAAACUGAUUGUAAAACACGUGUGUUUGAACAAAAUGAAAUCAGUGCACCUUGAAAAAGAACAGAAUAACAGCGAUUUUAGUGAACAAGAGCAGACAACCAUGAGGUCUGACUGCCUGUGGGGUUUGGCAAAAUAAAGCCAUAGUUUUCUGCUUGCAGAGAGCCUAUAAACAGACGCACAAGUAGGGAAGAUAUUGCUAAAUUCUUUUCCUAGCAAGGAAUAUUGAUUAUUAAUACUCUGGGAAAAGAAUUGCAUUCCUGGGGGGAGGUCUAUAAACAGCUGCUCUGGGAGUGUCUGCCUUAUGCGAUUGAGAUAAGGACUGAAAUAUGCCCUGGUCUUCUGCAGUACCCUCAGGCUUACUAGGGUGGGGAAAAACCCCACCCUGGUGAAUUUGAGGUCAGACCAGUUCUCUGCUCUUGAACCCUGUUUUCUGUUGUUUAAGAUGUUUAUCAGGACAAUACAUGCACAGCUGAACAUAGAACCUUAUCAGUAGUUCUGUUUUGCCUUUUUUCCUGUUUACUCUGAAACAUGUGAUCUUUGUUUUCCCUUUUGCCCUUUGAAGUAUGUGAUCUUUGCGACCUACUCACUGUUCUUGCACCCCCUCCCCUUUUGAAAUCCUCAAUAAAACUUGCAGGUUUUAAGGCUCCGGUGGGUGUCACGGUCCUACCAAUAUAUGAUGUCACCCCCAGAGGCCCAGCUGUAAAAUUCCUCUCUUUGUACUUUUCCUCUUUAUUUCUCAGCCCACCGACACUUAUGGAAAAUAGAAAGAACCUACGUUGAAAUAUUGGGGGCCGGUUCCCCUGAUACCAACUGAUCAAAGUAUUGCCGGAUAUCAGUUAUGCUGAUUUAGUUGCCUGCACUUGACCUGUCCCUUUUCCAUGACAUUGGCGACUUUCUUGGCUUGGCUUUUUUCAGUCAGAAAAGCAUAUUUGUUUUUGAAGGAGACUGUUUGUUUUUAAAGUAAGAGUUUCAAAAUGAUAAUAAGUUAAUGAUUUGAGCAAUGGUUGGAGUGCACAGAUGAGGCCUACACAAACUACUUUUUCAUAUGUAGAUUGUAUUCAUUUUCCUGGAUAGGGACAAAAACAGUAUUAUGUUUCCAUGGGUUUGAAGUUCACAUGAAAACAGGUACUUCAUAAUUUUUUUUAACUAACAUUAUGUAGUCUGAAUUAUAAAAUGUUUAUAAAUGAUUUAAUGGAUUGAGAGAAACAAUAUUUGUCAUCCAUGAUUAUUUUUGAAAGUGAUCCAUGAUUAUUUUUGAAAGUGAAUUGCUAUUAAAAUUUAACUAAAACUU